rnacentral:rRNA from 1 species
UGGGGAAUCUUAGACAAUGGGCGCAAGCCUGAUCUAGCCAUGCCGCGUGAGUGAUGAAGGCCCUAGGGUCGUAAAGCUCUUUCGCCUGUGAAGAUAAUGACUGUAGCAGGUAAAGAAACCCCGGCUAACUCCGUGCCAGCAGCCGCGGUAAUACGGAGGGGGUUAGCGUUGUUCGGAAUUACUGGGCGUAAAGCGCGCGUAGGCGGACAUUUAAGUCAGGGGUGAAAUCCCGGGGCUCAACCCCGGAACUGCCCUUGAUACUGGGUGUCUUGAGUUCGAGAGAGGUGAGUGGAAUUCCGAGUGUAGAGGUGAAAUUCGUAGAUAUUCGGAGGAACACCAGUGGCGAAGGCGGCUCACUGGCUCGAUACUGACGCUGAGGUGCGAAAGUGUGGGGAGCAAA